rnacentral:rRNA from 1 species
GACGAACGCUGGCGGCGUGCUUAACACAUGCAAGUCGAACGGAAAGGCCCUGCUUUUGUUGGGUGCUCGAGUGGCGAACGGGUGAGUAACACGUGAGUAACCUGCCCUUGUCUUUGGGAUAACUUCAGGAAACUGGGGCUAAUACCGGAUAGGAGCUCCUGCUGCAUGGUGGGGGUUGGAAAGUUUCGGCGGUUGGGGAUGGACUCGCGGCUUAUCAGCUUGUUGGUGGGGUAGUGGCUUACCAAGGCUUUGACGGGUAGCCGGCCUGAGAGGGUGACCGGCCACAUGGGGACUGAGGUAGGGCCCAGACUCCUACGGGAGGCAGCAGUGGGGAAUAUUGCAGAAUGGGCGGAAGCCUGAUGCAGCAACGCCGCGUGCGGGAUGACGGCCUUCGGGUUGUAAACCGCUUUCGCCUGUGACGAAGCGUGAGUGACGGUAAUGGGUAAAGAAGCACCGGCUAACUACGUG